AUGGGUUCAAGUGAAGGGCCAGGUCCAAGCAGGAGGCCCCCAAGGGCGAUAGGUGCAUCCUUGGACCCUCACCCCAAACUGUGGGUUUCCUCCCCAGAAAGCAGGCAGCCCACGCGUAGGGGUGAGAGUCAAACAUUUCUCUGGCCCAAAUCACCCUCUGAGUGCCGGGGUCUCUGGGCUGGCAACACCCGCAUCAUCCGGGACGCGGUUAGGGGAGUGCACUCGGGCUCCUCCCGGGAAUUUCCGGGGUGGCCCGUUCAGCCGGCGUCGCAGCAUGCUGACUACGGGACACAGCAUCCGGGCGGUGCAGGGGUUAAAGGGCCUCAAGGCAGCGAUCCCCCAGGGCCGCUGGUCCCAUUUCCGUCCCCGCCCCCAGCCUUCAACCUGGCCUCUCAGUCCCAGUCCGAGCCCCCCCCCCCGCCCCCCGCCUCCUCCCUGAGGCUCCUGGGGCCUGGGAGGCUGCCGCCCUCCGGGGAGGAGGAGAGCCGUCCCCCGGAUCCCACACGAGGGGCAAGCGCGUCUCCCAGGGAGGCCGCUCGGGAAGCCCCAGUGUCAGCAGGGUUUGGCCGCCGUGGUGACCACAGAAGCCACCGGAUGGAUCUCCACCUGCAGGGGGCUGGAGCGCUGCCCCACGAAGUGCUGGGGCCAGGCAGGGAGUGUGUGGGCCCACGGGACCUGGGACUUCUCGGGGGGCCGCUUCCUGGAGACGCUCCUGGUGGUGGAGCUGGACUUCCCUGCCCUGCAGAUGCUCCCCUUCCUGCAGAUGCUCCCAGCCCUGUAGGUGCUCCCUGCCCUGCAGGUUCUCCCUUCCCUGCAGGUGCUCCUUGCCCUGCAGGUGCUCCCUUCCCUGCAGGUGCCCCCUUCCCUGCAGAUUCUCCCUUCUCUUCCCUGCAGGUUCUCCCUUCCCUGCAGGUACUCCUUGCCCUGCAGGUGCUCCCUUCCCCUCCCUGCAGGUGCUCCCAGCCCUGCAGGUGCUCCCUUCCCUUCCCUGUAGGUGCUCCCCUCCCUGCAGGUGCUCCCCACCCGGCUCACUCGUGCCUCCCUUCACUUGGGGUCAGAUCUGCAUCAUCACCCAGUGGCUGUUCCCACCCCUUCCCCAGCUGUUCUCACCCCUUCCCUGUUUUCUGUCACAAGAAUUACCUCCAAGAAAAUCCUUGCGUGCACAGUCCCAUCUGGGCUCCACUCCCCCAAGGCUGUGAUAGCAGGUGUCAGAGACAAUUGGUGAUUGUGUGCGCGUGUGAGACAGAGGGAGGGAGGGAGGAGGACAGAGGAAGCCCAGGCUGA
rnacentral:lncRNA from 1 species